rnacentral:lncRNA from 1 species
AUGGAAACGAGAGAUCCCAGACCCAACCUUCAAGGUCUGGUGUCCGAGGAUGACGGUGGUCUGGAGAUGAAGACAGACUCGAACCCUGUGGCAGACCACACAGACAGCCCAUCGGAACCCUGUAGUGAGAAGCCCGAAGAUGAACCCCAAUUCACCCCCCCUGCCCCUGCACUCAUGAGAAGGUACUACGGUGUGAUGGAUGAUGAGGGUGCAGAUGCAGUCUUCGUCACGCCGCCUUCUCCAUCCUACGUGGCUGCUCUGCUGCCAGCAGAGGGCAGCACAGAUGCGAUGGUGACUAAUCCAAGUAUGACCCUUGCAAACGAGGCAUCUGACGCCACAGAGGCUAAAGGUAAUCCAAGUGGCUUAGACUGGCAUGGGGAAGAGCAGUUAAUGGCAGCAUACAACAAGGUGGAUGAAGUGAAAGCAAGUACAGUGCAGACUUCUGACGAGUCUAUGGACACCUUACCUCUGUCCAAAGACAGGGACUCCACUCUACCAAAGGAUCAAGACCAAACAGCCAUGGAAGGCGCAGGUAGUCUGGUGGAAUCGUGGGGGCACCAUCCAGGAGAACAAGAAUCAAGUGCGGAACCAGAGGUCAGUUUGAGGGGAGGACAGGAAAACUUGAAGGAAAGUGAAGCAGAGAAAGACAAAUAUCCGAAACAGGUACCUUCAAGCGUUGACGGAAACUCAUUUAAUGAGACGCAUUUUGACAAUGAAGAAGGCAAAACAACAUCCGGACACAUUUUUGGUCUUGCUGAGGUAGAUUCAAAACUAACGAAAGAAAACAUCGUCUGCGACAGUGUAGAGAAAAAUGACCCAACGAUGACUAAUCUCAGUGUGAGGUGUGAAGAUUUAGAGUCCUGCGGACCACCGGAGGUCUCCGAAUGCAACCCAACCAAGAUGGAGGCAGCAACCAGUCAACCACAGGUACCAGAGAUCUCAACAGAGACUGAAGAGUCUGUUGACACCAGAUCUUUGGAUUAUAACCUCACGAAGUACAACUGGGGGAGGAGGGAGAGUGGAGAAACACAAGUGCCCCGGCUCCCAAUCAUGGAAGGCACUGAAGAGACGGUCACAAAAGGAAGUAGAAGCAGGAGUAUAAGUAUUGAAAUCCUACAAGGAGAGCAACUCCUUCAGCGUCUGCAGCAAGUGCAGCUACGACAGGACGUAUGUACACCAGAGAGCCCUGAUAACACCCAGCAGGUUGUCCAAGAGAGAGAUGUAUUUGGGGCUGAUGAAAGUGAUCUUAAAGGAACAGAAGGGGAUCUGACAGUUGGAGAUAAGAAGGGAGAGAGUAGAUCUCACACUAUUGACGAGGAGGGAGGAAAGAUGAACCUAACGGAAGAAUGGGAGAGGGAAAACAAUGAAAAGAAUGAGAACAAAGACGAAAAGAAAGCCAGGGUGUCUUCGUCAGCAGUGCCUGUUGAGCCUGGGCAUGAAAUGACUGCCAGAGCAGAGGCAGGUGACUCCGAUGACCCCCAUGAAACAUAUUCCGCAGAAAAGUCUUUUCCAUCCACCUGUCACCAGUUCUCAACCGCCGUGACUUCCAUUGAGGAGCAGAUCCAUGAGGCAGCUCAGGAGACGCAGAACCUGCAGAGAGCCGGCGGUCUCUUCAGCCUUGCAGACAAUCCAGAUGUGCUUGAGAUUCCCUUUAAGACCAACAUCUCUCUUGAGCCACUUGCCACCUCAGUCAGCCCAGGUCAGCGCAGUGACUGGCAGUUCUCCGAGCAGAAGAUGCAGAAGGAGAUAAGUCAGGAGAUCCAGAGAGAACUGGUGCUUGUCAACCAAGGGAAGAUCCCAGGAGGGUACAGCAAAGGGGAAGUCCGUCAAUUAAAGCAGACAAAGCUACUGUUUGAGGCUUUCCAGCAGGAGAACCCAGAGGGUCCAACAAGGUACCGGAGAUCCCCUACCUUACUGAAGAAAGGUCACGUUUACCCAUCUGUGUUAGAGCGCACGCGUAGCCUUGAGAUGUUCUCACUCAAAAGUUACCCCGUCUCCAGAACACAUUCCCUCAGGCUGUACAAAUCAACCUCUGACGCAGUUAAAAUCCAUGAAGACUUAAGAUCAAAGAGCCCAACCGGUGGUUCUCGAGACAAAACACGCUUAUUCCCCUACCCCAAACAAGACAUGCAUGUGCGCCUGCACAGAAGCAUGGACUCCAUAAGCAGUGAUACGUCUGCUAUGGAGACUAGGCAAGUGAACGCAACACAAGAAUCUCCCAUCAUCAAACAAAACCCCUUCUACAAGUUGCGACCAGCCCUGGCUCGGCAGCCCGAGGUGGAGAAGGACAUCCGGGAGGCCAAAGAAAGAGAAGAGGAGCUGCGCAGACAGAGAUGCACUCUGUAUGGAGAGAACAGGCAGAGUAGUGAAGACGGAGAAAAGUCACGAUUCACAUCAGCGCACGAACCAGAUGACAGACGACUGUCCAGGGGGAAACUGGAACGGGUUUGGCCGCCGCCGUCCAAAAAAGACCAGGCGAAGUCUGAACAGGCACAGCAGGAGUCUAAAGUUCACAGAGCGGGAAGACAGAAGGCUCCUCUGUGGCAGCGCUGGGAGGCCGGCCUGGUCAACGGGCAGCCUUCAAAGGAAAAGAACUGAUAUUUGCCAUCCUGACGUCUUCGACACUUCAAAUAGAAUAAUCUGCCAUGCUAAAGCAACCCGAGCGCAAGAUUAAUCAGUAUGAUCAAAACCCCGAAGGUAGCUCCAUCGCACAUGCUUCCCGGCUCCCUUUAACUCUGCUUCGUAUCCCUGUCAAAUAUGAUUUUUUUGAUAUCUUUAAACGCUAGCUUCAUCAGCACGUAAAUAAAGCAAAAGUGCGGCUUCGAUCAGUCUCUCCGACCCUUUUUUCUCUUUCAGUCUCUAUCGGCCAGGUAAUGUAAACCAAACUGGUGGCGUUACUUCAAGUCCAACAGUUUAAGAGGUUUAAUGGAAUGUCAACUUUCAAUAUACUGUUCAACAAUUUGGC